rnacentral:rRNA from 1 species
CCUACGGGAGGCAGCAGUCGAGAAUCAUUCACAAUGGCGGAAACCCUGAUGGUGCGAUGCCGCGUGGGGGAAUGUAGGCUUUCGGCUUGUAAACUCCUGUCAUGGGGGAGCAAAUUAAUAAGAUAGUACCACACGAGGAAGCGACGGCUAACUCUGUGCCAGCAGCCGCGGUAAUACAGAGGUCUCAGGCGUUGUUCGGAAUCAUUGGGCGUAAGGCGUGCGUAGGCUGUUUCGUAAGUCGUGUGUGAAAGGCGCGGGCUCAACCCGCGGACGGCACAUGAUACUGCGAGACUAGAGUAAGGAGGGGGGAACCGGAAUUCUCGGUGUAGCAGUGAAAUGCGUAGAUAUC